CCACAAUUUACCAAGUAUAAAAAUUAUAAUAAUAAUUAUAUAUAACUAAUGGUUUCAAAAAGAAAAAAUAUUGUAAGAAAAGAUCAUACCAAUAGAGGUUCGCGCGUUUUGGUUUUAACGUUCGAUGAAGAGGAAAGAAAUUAAUAUUUGUUUGAUUUGAGGGAGUAUCUUACUGGUUUUAAAAAACGUAAGGAACAGCGCAGGAAGAAGGCAACUGAAAAAGCUAUGGAAAAGUUGAGAUUAGAAAAAAUUCAAAAACGAGCUGAGCUAAAAAGAAAAUUAUUAGAACUUCAUUUGGCGAAGUUUAAAGAAAAUGGUCUAGUACAAUGCUCUUCUGGAGACGAAGCAGAAACAGAAAAAAACUUUACCGAAACUACUGUUUAUAAUUUUGCAAAUACCGAAACCACUGUUACUACCACUUCAA